GGGGGAUAGCUCAGUGGUAGAGCGCAUGCUUAGCGUGCACAAGGUCCUGGGUUCAAUCCUCAGGACCUCCA
rnacentral:tRNA from 1 species